GGAGAGAUGGCAGAGUGGUUGAAUGCGGCGGUCUCGAAAACCGUUGUGGGCUUAUAGUUCACCGGGAGUUCGAAUCUCCCUCUCUCCGCCA
rnacentral:tRNA from 1 species